AUUGAACGCUGGCGGCAUGCCUUACACAUGCAAGUCGAACGGCAGCACGGGAGCAAUCCUGGUGGCGAGUGGCGAACGGGUGAGUAAUAUAUCGGAACGUGCCCAGUCGUGGGGGAUAACGCAGCGAAAGGUGUGCUAAUACGGCAUACGAUCUAAGGAUGAAAGCGGGGGAUCGAAAGACCUCGCGCGAUUGGAGCGGCCGAUAUCCGAUUAGUUUGUUGGUGGGGUAAAGGCCCACAAAGGCGACGAUCUGUAGCUGGUCUGAGAGGACGACCAGCCACACUGGAACUGAGACACGGUCCAGACUCCUACGGGAGGUAGCAGUGGGGAAUUUUGGACAAUGGGCGCAAGCCUGAUCCAGCAAUGCCGCGUGCAGGAUGAAGGCCUUCGGGUUGUAAACUGCUUUUGUACGGAACGAAACGGCCCUUUCUAAUACAGGGGGCUAAUGACAGUACCGUAAGAAUAAGCACCGGCUAACUACGUGCCAGCCGCCGCAGUAA
rnacentral:rRNA from 1 species